rnacentral:rRNA from 1 species
UACAGAGGUCUCAAGCGUUGUUCGGAUUCACUGGGCGUAAAGGGCGCGUAGGCGGCGCGCUAAGUCAGGUGUGAAAUUUCGGAGCUUAACUCCGAAACUGCAUUUGAUACUGGCGUGCUUGAGGACUGGAGAGGAGACUGGAAUUCACGGUGUAGCGGUGAAAUGCGUAGAGAUCGUGAGGAAGACCAGUGGCGAAGGCGGGUCUCUGGACAGUUCCUGACACUGAGGCGCGAAGGCCAGGGGAGCAAACGGG